rnacentral:rRNA from 1 species
GGAGGAAGAGAAACCAACUGGGAUUCCCCCAGUAACGGCGAGCGAACGGGGAAGAGUCCAGCGCCGAAGCUCGCUCCCCCGUGCGGGGCGCGAGCAAUGUGGCGUUCGGGAGGGAGCGCGCUCGGGGAAGACGGCGGGCAGCAAGUCCCCCUGACCGGGGCUCUUGCCCAGAGCGGGUGCGAGGCCCGUCGCUGCCCGGUCCUCCCCGAGAGGCGACCUCCCCGGAGUCGGGUUGCUCGGGAGUGCAGCUCCAAGCGGGUGGUAAACUCCACCUAAGGCUAAACACGGCCGCGAGACCGAUAGCAAACAAGUACCGUGAGGGAAAGUUGCAAAGAACUUUGAAGAGAGAGUUCAAGAGUACGUGAAACUGCUCAGAGGCAAACGAGUGGGCCCUCGAAAUCCGCCCGCGGGGGGAUUCAGCCGGGAGCGGCAGGCGAGCGCGGGACGCGGACCGUCACGAGGACGGCCGCGUCUUCCGCGAGAGCCGAUCGCGCCCGACGCACUUCCCCCCGCGCUCAGGACGCCGCGUCGAAUCGGGAGUCGGCCUUGCGUCGGCCCGACCGCGAAGGCGCGGCCCCCGUCCGGGGGCAUGCGGUGACUCAGCGGGGCCGGUCGCGGCGCGACGCCCGAUCGCCGACGGAGAGUCGCCACUGGCGACCUCGUCUCCUGACCAUGGUCGCGGGGCCCCGGGCCACUGUGCACCGCCGCCAUGCCGAGUCACCCCAGUGCGGUGGCCGGCGCGGAGGACCGCCGAGGCUGGGCCCGGGUGCAACCCGCGGAGGGAGAGACGCUCGCGGCGAGUAGGUCGGUCACCCACCCGACCCGUCUUGAAACACGGACCAAGGAGUCUAGCAUGUGCGCGAGUCGCAGGGUCUUGCUCAGGCCCGCGGGCGCAGUGAAAGUGAGGGCCCCCAUCAGCGGGGCCGGGCUGGGACUCCCCUUCCCUAGGGAGGCACCAGCGGCCCGCCCCUGUUCCGGCCAGCCGGCGGGGCGGAGCCAGAGCGCACACGCUGGGACCCGAAAGAUGGUGAGCUAUGCCUGGGCAGGGCGAAGCCAGAGGAAACUCUGGUGGAGGCUCGCAGCGGUUCUGACGUGCAAAUCGAUCGUCAGACCCGGGUAUAGGGGCGAUAGACCAAUCGAAUCAUCUAGUAGCUGGUUCCCUCCGAAGUUUCUCUAAGGAUAGCUGGCGCUCGGAGAGAUAUGACAGUCUCAUCCGGUAAAGCGAAUGACUAGAGGCCUUGGGGCCGAAACGACCUCAACCUAUUCUCAAACUUUAAAUGGGUGAGCGGCCGGCUUGCUCGAUCGAAGCCCGGACGACGUAUCCCCGGAUGCGAGUGCCAAGUGGGCCACUUUUGGUAAGCAGAACUGGCGCUGUGGGAUGAACCAAACGCCGGGUUAAGGCGCCCGAUGCGAGACGCUCACGAGAACCCAUGAAAGGUGUUGGUCGCUACAGACAGCAGGACGGUGGCCAUGGAAGUCGGAAACCGCCAAGGAGUGUGUAACAACUCACCUGCCGAAGCAACCAGCCCUGAAAAUGGAUGGCGCUCCAGCGUCGAGCCCAUACCCGGCCGCCGCGGCAGACAUAUAUAUAUAGCUUUAGGCCGCGGCGAGUAGGAGGGUCGCGGCGGCGAGCGCUGAAGGUGCCGGGCGCGAGCCCGCCUGGAGCCGCCGCCGGCGCAGAUCUUGGUGGUAGUAGCAAAUACUCGAGUGAGAGCCUCGAGGACUGAGGUGGAGAAGGGUUCCAUGUGAACAGCAGUUGAACAUGGGUCAGUCGGUCCUAAGGGAUCGGACAAGUCCGUUCUGAAGGGGGGCCUCUAGCCAGAGGGAGAGCCCCCGCGGACCGAAAGGGAAUCGGGUCAAUAUUCCCGAACCCGGACGCGGAGAUCGGGCCCCCGGGCCCGAGCGCGGCGACGCAACCGAACUCGGAGAAGUCGACGGGAGUCCCGGGAAGAGUUGUCUUUUCUUUGUAAGGGUCCGGCUCCCUGGAAUCGGCUCGUCCGGAGAUAGGGACGCUGGCACCCGUAAAGCACCGCGGCUCUUGCGGUGUCCGGAGUGCUCCCGUCGGCCCUUGAAAAUCCGAGGGAGGCAGUGUGAUUUUCGCGCCGGGCCGUACCCAUAUCCGCAGCAGGUCUCCGAGGU